GCCUGAGUAGCUCAAACGGCAGAGCGCUCGCCCGGCAUGCGAGAGGUCCGGGGAUCGAUUCGCCCGGCCUGGCU